rnacentral:tRNA from 1 species
AGGAGUGUAGCUCAGCGAUAGAGCAUGAAUUUAGCAUGUACAAGGCCCUGGGUUUAAUUCCCAGCACCUA